rnacentral:rRNA from 1 species
AUUGAACGCUAGCGGGAUGCUUUACACAUGCAAGUCGAACGAGUGGCGGACGGGUGCGUCAUAUAUCGGAACGUGCGCAGUAGCGGGGGAUAAUUAUUGGAAAGAGUGGCAAAUACCGCAUACGAGUGGAGCGGCCGACAUCGGAUUUGCUAGUUGGUGGGGUACAGGCUCGCCAAGGCAACGAUCCGUAGCUGGUUUGAGAGGACGACCAGCCACACUGGGACUGUGACACGGCCCAGACUCCUACGGGAGGCAGCAGUGGGGAAUUGUGGACAAUGGGGGAAACCCUGAUCCAGCCAUCCCGCUUGUAUGAGAAGGCCUUCGGUUUGUAAAGUACUUUUGGCAGAGAAGCGGUAUCGGCAGAAUAAGCACCGGCUAACUACGUGCCAGCGGCCGCGGUAAUUC